UGGCAUUCUUAUUGGGAUAUCUAUCUCUUUUUACUUUUUUUUUUUUCCUGUUCUGAUGCAGCAACAGGACCCUCUUUGAUUCAGAGAAUAUGGUGCCCUUAAUGAAUCAUCAAGAUGUCCAUGAACAAUUUCAGGGGUUUUCUGUAGAGAUCUCAUUUCUUUCCUUCUUCUUCUUCUUCUUCUUCUUUUUUUUUUUUUUUAAGAUCUUGUUUCUGAAUUCUGACUCAACCCACCAGAAUGAUUUGAUAGUGAUGGAGUAUGACUCCACACAAUUACAUGAAUGAAAAUCCUCAACCGCAUUCACUAGUGGAAAAGAAAGAAACUAACGUUUUUGGAACGCAUAGCCUCUGUAACUAAGAACAUCUUCUACUCGUUCUCUAUUAGUUGGAGUUUUAGGGAGAUUUAUUAACGUUUAGGGUGCUAAUAUUACAUGGGCCAAAAGUAAUGGGAGAGUUCUAUGGUCUGAGCAAUAACAGUGAAUCACAGGACAACCAAGAUUCUCAAGGCCAAACUAAACAACGUUACUGAGAAUACAUACAAGCUUGCUACCCAGUUAAAGAAUUUCUUGUGCACCUGCCAUCUCAUUGCUUCUGUGUAUCAGAGUUUCCCAAGUAAUGCUCAUCAACACCAGGUUUCUUUUAAAACAGAGUCUCCUUAAAGCGCUUCACACGUGUACAAGGCUGAGAGCAACAAAUAUCCUAGUCCCAUUGUAGAUCCAAGAGGAAAAGAAAGUGUUAAAAAGCCUGAUGAAGUCCCCACUUAGCAGAGCCCCAAAUCCUCAGUGGAUUGGAUUAUUCUAGAAAGAACCAGUGACCCUCUUCAGCCAAUGUGUUUUGAGUCCUGGUGUGUGCCAGGCUCCUGGUUGUGAGCUAAGGACACAGAACUGAAUAAGCACCUUCUUUGCACUCAGAGGGCCCCUAAAUGACUUCUCUCUUCUCUGCUAAAUCUUUUUGUCUCUAAGUCUUGUGUGAUCAUGCUGCCACAUCAAGAUCUAGUCUAGUAGUUUCGUAAUGCCCCCUUCUCCCUGCACCACCAAACCUCCCCACACACUGGGCUAAAGUCACAGUGCUUUUUACUCGGAAAGCCAUGGAAAUGUGAAGUUCACUGUUUUGCUCUCUCUGAUAAAAUAUAGCAUAAUAACUGGUUGCUGGGUUACUGCAUAAAACACAGGCCCCAAAUGUAGCCAGGAAGAAUAGUUAGCAAUUAAGUAAAGGAAAUGACUAGUGGGUUUGAAACUCAACACACGGCCCAUGUACUUCUUAGCAAAGGAAGGCAUCUGGGUUACUUAGGCAACUUUUAUCACUAAGGAAGUAGUUUUGGUGACUCACACUCAUACAGAACAACUGCUUUCAAAAUCUGUUAUUUGGUGCCUUUACCAUUAGGCUUCUGUUUUCCUUUAUCUUUGGACUGGGACAGAAAAAAGCUACAUUUGGAUGGCACGGGUUUAUUACUUAGUAGCAUAUGAUUCUCUGGCUGACCUAUGUUUUGAAAUUUAAUGGACCUGUGGUGAUCAGAGUAAAAGAUAGAAGCAUUCAGUGUGAGGCCAGGGCAUGGAGCACCAUUUGCGCGAUUUGUGAGCCUUAGCAGCCCCUCCCUCUUCUGUGGGGCCCCUUUCAGGGAACAUGGGAGAAGGGACGGUCCAGUGGUUCUCAAAGUGGGGUUCCCAGACCAGCAACAUCUGCAUCGUCUGCUGUUUGUUGGCAAUGCUGUCGCUUCCCAACUUAGGCUGACCGAGUCAGAACUCUGGAGCAGAGGCCCAACAGUCUGGUUUUAAAGAAGACUUCCAGAUGAUUCUGAGGAGUGCUGAUGUCUGAGAACCAUCAUGCUAGUGAAUUAUUAGUAUUUGUGGCCAUGAAGAGUAUGAAAACUACAGUGGUUGGAGAGUGGGGACAUUGAUGUGUCUGUUGAUGAGGAAAUGAGGAAUAGUUAGGAGAAAGAGUUUUAACUUGAGAAUCAAAAAAUGAAAAGUCUGGAAUUUAAUGAGGAAGACUGAUUGCUUGCAAGAACCUUUGCUUUCUUAGAGAAGGACAAUCCGGAUGACUGGGGGACUGUGAACUAACUAUAUGGGCAUGGUUCUGAAAUUCUCGAAUAAUCUCUUGUGAGAGAAGUCAUGCCUUUCCGUAUGAGGACAUACAUUCAACUCAGGUUUGUAAAAUCCUUUAAGACUCUCAUGGGCCGUUGGCUUGCUCAGCUCAUUUGCAUCUUGAGGCCCCGUUUCUGCGUCUGAAAACCACAUGCGUUGUUACUUGCCACAAAUGAUCUCAUCAGCAUGAAGUCAGAGAUUUGGAAUAUAUAAGAGGAUUUGUGAAGUGAUCUGAUUACUGAAAAACGUGAAGUAAGAAUGAAGAAUAAUACUAUCGAUAUGGACAGGAAGAGGGGUUUAGAAGGCGAUCCAAAAAUGGGUGGAUAUUUCAAUUUCCCUUUGACACAUGUACCCACUUUAAUCCUGGCUCUGUUGUGUAGUACUUUUUUGAUGUUAAGUAAAUCACAGUUUUUCAAAGCUUUUCACUUUAGUUUCCUCAAAAAAAAAAAAAUACCAUCAAUGAUAAUCGACUCAGAGGAUUGUUGUGAGAAAAAAGAUUAGAUUAAAAUAUGAAAAUGGAGCUUGCAAAGGUCAAACAUUACACAUUUUAGAUACUGUUGUUAGGAUUGUUGUUGUUUUAUGUCUGGGUUGAGAAAGCUUCGUGAUUAUUGACAUAAUGACAUCCAGGAGUUUGGAAUAAAUGUGUACGUCAGCAGAUUUUAUGAUUACAAAAAAUAGCUAUGUUUGCUUUCCUACUAAUUCUCCUCCAGUGGAAUGUUUUCAUUUUCUCAUGAAAUGAGGGAGAUCCACACAUGUUUUAUUAAAGAAAGCAGCCUGAUAUUUUUUAUCCUUUGAACAGAGAGACUGCAUUUCACUCAUUCUUUCAGGGAAAGAUGACAGAUUCUGGAGUCCAGGCUACAUGGAUUAAAUUCCCAAGUUCUGCGUAAGCCUUAGUUUCCUUGUAUAUAAGAAGGAGGUGUUAAUAUGGAGGUAUAUGAAGAUGAAGUGAGAAAUAUAGAUAAAAUGCAUGGUAGAGGGACACAAGGUAACCACCCAAUAAUGUGGGUUGUUAUUAAACUACAGCAUGAAGAGGGGUGAUGAGUCUGAAAAAUCAGGGGCAGGAGAAAAUAAGAAGACAAGGGCCUGAUCAUUUUGCAAAUGAAAAUUCAAGUAGGUUCCAUGACUUUCUGGUGACUCUUACUAAAUUAAACAAUUCUCUCUUUCAAAUAGACAAAAUUAAUCAUAGUGAUUUAUAAUAUGCAUAUCUACCUAAUUAGUCAAAAUUUCAAUCUCGAUUUAAAGUUACACAUCUUCCCUUCGCAGGCUUGAGUGUGCUGGUUGCAAGGGAAUGGGAGUCCUACAUCUCUCUUUACAAAGUGCUUCUCCUCCCCCAUCCCCAUCUUGCUAACUGAGGUCUCCUACUUCAGGGUUAGAUCUCAUGGAGAAGAGGUGAGGGAGAUAAGAAAGUUCUUUCUUGACAAGUACGGCUGGUGAUCUAGAGUUUACAUGUCUCCAUUGGGCAUGUGCUGAAAACUGGCCCUUUCUCUAGCAGGUGCGUCUCUGGGGACUUCUCAUCAUUGGGAUGGCUCUCUGAAAGGGUCUUUAACAAGCGUUCGUAUUGGGUUUUCCACAGUUGCUAGAAGUCAUUCAGAAGUAUACUCUUUGAUUUUUUCAGUUGCAGUAAACUUCUUUCCAGGGGCUCAUCCUCCCACAGGAUCUAAAACAGGGAGCUCUCCCUUGUAUGGUUCAGAUCUGGUCUAAGGGAAAUACUUGACUUUCUAAAAGUAGGGGAUAGUGGGACGCCUGGGUGGCUCAGUGGGUUAAAGCCUCUGCCUUCGGCUAAGGUCAUGAUCCCAGGGUCCUGGGAUCAAGUCCCCCAUCGGGCUCUUUGCUCUCAACAGGGAGCCUGCUUCCUCCUUUCUCUGCCUGCCUCUCUGCCUCCUUGUGAUUUCUGUCUAUCAAAUAAAUAAAUAAAUCUUUAAAAAAAAAAACAAACCCUAGGGGAUAGAGGAUAAGUACAGUUGUAAACACCCAGGGUGGUCCUUUGAAGCUCAUUGUGUGGGUCCUUGAGGUGAGUAGCAAACAGCUCCGUAGACCUUCUGGGGAAAAAGGUCAAUCCACACAGCAUGCUGGCAACUUUCUCCAAACACUUUCCUCUUCUGGGCUCCUGGUUGACUCAGUCGGUUAAGCAUCCAACUCUUGGUUUUGGCUCAGCUCAUGAUCGCAGGGUAGUAAAAUCAAGCCCUGCAUUGGGCUCCCCACUCAGGGGAGAACCUACUUCCUCUCUCCCCUGCCUCACCACCAACUCCCUAUUUUUAUGUGUGUUCUCCCUGUUUCUCUCCCUCUCUAAAAUUAAAUGAAUCUUAAACAACAACAACAACAACAAACUUUCCGCUUCAGUAAUCUCCAACUCAGGGUGCCUGGGUGGCUCAGUGGGUUAAAGCCUCUGCCUUCGCCUCAGGUUAUGAUCUCAGGGUCCCGGGCUCUCUGCUUGGCAGGGAGCCUGCUUCCCCCUCUCUGCCUGUCUCUCUGCCUACUUGUGAUCUCUGUCUGUCAAAUAAAUAAAUAAAAUCUUGAAAAAAAAAUCUCCAACUCAUUUAUACCUUCAUUUGGGAUACCUUCAUCAUGGAGCGACAGACGGUUAUAAGAGUGAUAUAACUCUUUCCAGAACCCUUCCUUUGAAAACUUCAAGUUAUAGUGUUGUUUUUCACUUCAGAAUGUGGUUUCUGCUGUGUGCUGCUUCAGUUGAAACUUGUACUUUAACUCCUAUGAAAGGAAAGGGGAAAGGAUCACUUUGGGGUUGGCCUGACUUGAGGAAUGCCCUGACUUCUCAGACCAUCACCCCCAAGUUGUUGUGGCUUCCAAGAAGAUGGUUUGGCCAUGCAUGAGGGUCAAUGGUUUGACCCUCGUGAGUGCCCAAAUCCCAAGGUUAUCCCAAAGUAAAUCUUUCAGUGUGGGUGUUUUUUCAGAUGUUCAAAUUUAAUCUUUUUCUCAUAGGCAGCUUUUUGUUUUUUAAUGUGACUAAUUUACAUUAUUCCUGACUUCCAUGAUCAAUCUUGGGGCUUGCUCAUGUUAUUGUUUUAGGAGCUAAAAUGUGUUUAAAAAUGGUGUUCAGAUCAAGUUGGAAAAAACUGUUAAAUUUGCCAGUUCUAAUCUGAUCCUAAAUUCCCACUUGUAUUAAAUAAACGCGUCUUGAGACAAAUUAAAUAUGUCAUGUAUUGUGUUUAAA